rnacentral:rRNA from 1 species
CAAUAGCGUAUAUUAAAGUUGUUGCGGUUAAAAAGCUCGUAGUUGGAUUUCUGUUGAGGACGGCCGGUCCGCACUAUGUGCGUGUAUCUGGUUCGGCCUCGGCAUCCUCUCGAAAGCCGUUUCUGCGCUUGAUUGCGUGGUUCGGACUUCGGGACUUUUACUUUGAGGAAAUUAGAGUGUUCACGGCAGGCAAGCGCCUUGAAUAUAUUAGCAUGGAAUAAUAAUAUAGGAUCUUGGUCCUAUUUUGUUGGUUUCUAGGGCUAAGAUAAUGAUUAAUAGGGACAAUUGGGGGCAUUCGUAUUGACGCGUCAGAGGUGGAAUUCUUGGAUUGCGUUACGACGAACUACUGCGAAAGCAUUUGCCAAGGAUGUUUUCAUUGA